UAUAAAACGUUUAUUGGACCCGAAACAGAUCGAGCUAGCUGUGUGGCAGGUCUGGCAUUUACCAGGACCGAACCCGUGUCUGUUGCAAGAGACUGGGAUGACCCGCGGCUAGGGGUGAAAGGCCAAUCAAGUUCUGUGAUAGCUGGUUUUCUGCGAAAUCUAUCCGAGUAAAGAGUGUGUGAACAGACCAUAAUAAUAUAAAA
rnacentral:rRNA from 1 species